rnacentral:rRNA from 1 species
GUGGGGAAUAUUGCACAAUGGGCGCAAGCCUGAUGCAGCAACGCCGCGUGAGGGAUGACGGCCUUCGGGUUGUAAACCUCUUUUAGUAGGGAAGAAGCGUAAGUGACGGUACCUGCAGAAAAAGCACCGGCUAACUACGUGCCAGCAGCCGCGGUAAUACGUAGGGUGCAAGCGUUGUCCGGAAUUAUUGGGCGUAAAGAGCUCGUAGGCGGCUUGUCGCGUCUGCCGUGAAAACCCAGGGCUCAACUCUGGGCGUGCGGUGGGUACGGGAAGGCUAGAGUGCGGUAGGGGAGAUUGGAAUUCCUGGUGUAGCGGUGGAAUGCGAAGAUAUCAGGAGGAACACCGAUGGCGAAGGCAGAUCUCUGGGCCGUAACUGACGCUGAGGAGCGAAAGCAUGGGGAGCGAACAGGAUUAGAUACCCGGGUAGUCC